rnacentral:lncRNA from 1 species
AGUGUCUAAAUUAGGUUCAAUUCAUCUUAAAUACUGUCCUAUAGAUAGUUAUCCAAAAUAGACAUCUCCAAAAGAUAAUUCUACUUAUGUUAUCUGAAGUCUGCUUUAGAUAUAUUUUCCUCACCACUACUUGUGGGAACUUACUGUAUUUAACUUUUUAGGUAUCAGCCUGAGCUGAUACCUAAAAUCAAGUGCAGUUAAUAAAUGCUUUGUGAAUGUUCAGUCAAUGUAGUAAAAAGAGAUAUUUAAAUGUAACUGUAAAAAGAUUAUGAUAUAUUAACAAUUUAUGUCUUAUUGACCUAGGCAGGAUCUUGGGGGAAAUGCAAUGCUACUUAUCAUGAGGAAGAUAUUUUAUCAAAAUCAAGACUUAUAUUAAUACCACACAACUACACAACUACAGAGGAAAAGUGCCAAGAGAUUCUGUGUCUUGGCACUGUCUGUGCCAAGACAGUUCCCAAGACUCCUUUUCCAUAUGUAAGUAUUCUUUUUCUUCUGUAGUAAGAAGUAGAUGCCACAGACCAAUGAUUUUGGAUAUAUCUGUGAUAUCUGUUUC